rnacentral:rRNA from 1 species
AUGCCCUCACCUGGUAGCUUCAGUCGGCGUAGCGGCGACAGUUUCCUGCUGCCCCGGCCGCCGCCGGUGACGGACGUGGGCUGCGGGUGCCGCACGCCGAGGCUUCUCAGCUCCAUCUACUCGUCGCUCAUGUCCCGGGCGCGCGGAGGAGGAGGCCGUGGCACCAAGCCCAAGUCGCCGCAUGCGUCGUCCACGUCCACCGCCACCGCCUUCACCUCCAGCACCGCGGGCGCCACCACCGCCACCACGGUCUCGUCCCUGGACGACUCGUGGGGCCUGGCGACCUAUGCCACCAACACGCUCUACGAGGACGACCCGGGGGCGAGGCGCCAGCGGCGGAGGACGGGGACGAGGAGGCACAGGAGGCAGAGGAACCACGCUAGCAGCAGAAGGCCGGAGAGGGGCGUCGCGAUGAUGGCGCGCGGGGAGGAGGAGGAGGAGGAGGCUGCGGUGGCGGUGGAGGUGGAGUCGGCGACGCCGUACGAGGACUUCCGGGAGUCCAUGGUGGCCAUGGUGGUGGAGAAGGAGAUGUACGCGUGGGAGGACCUCAACGCGCUGCUCCACGGGUUCCUCUCGCUCAACUCGCCGCGCAACCACCCGCUCAUCCUCCACGCCUUCGCCGACCUCUGGGCGCCGCGCGGCGGCCUCUUCUGCCCUCCGUCCCCGUGCCUAGGCCUCUAG